rnacentral:rRNA from 1 species
UGGGGAAUAACGCAUCGAAAGAUGUGCUAAUACCGCAUAUUCUCUGAGGAGAAAAGCAGGGGAUCGCAAGACCUUGCGCUUUUGGAGUGGCCGAUGCCUGAUUAGCUAGUUGGUGGGGUAAUGGCCUACCAAGGCGACGAUCAGUAGUUGGUCUGAGAGGACGACCAGCCACACUGGGACUGAGACACGGCCCAGACUCCUACGGGAGGCAGCAGUGGGGAAUUUUGGACAAUGGGCGAAAGCCUGAUCCAGCAAUGCCGCGUGAGUGAAGAAGGCCUUCGGGUUGUAAAGCUCUUUCAGUCGAGAAGAAAAGGUUGUGACUAAUAAUCACAACUCAUGACGGUAUCGACAGAAGAAGCACCGGCUAACUACGUGCCAGCAGCCGCGGUAAUACGUAGGGUGCGAGCGUUAAUCGGAAUUACUGGGCGUAAAGGGUGCGCAGGCGGCUUUGUAAGUCAGAUGUG